rnacentral:rRNA from 1 species
UACAGAGGUCUCAAGCGUUGUUCGGAUUCAUUGGGCGUAAAGGGUGUGUAGGUGGCGCCGUAAGUCGGGUGUGAAAUUUCGGAGCUUAACUCCGAAACUGCAUUCGAUACUGCGGUGCUUGAGGACUGGAGAGGAGACUGGAAUUCAUGGUGUAGCAGUGAAAUGCGUAGAGAUCAUGAGGAAGACCAGUGGCGAAGGCGGGUCUCUGGACAGUUCCUGACACUGAGACACGAAGGCCAGUGGAGCAAACGGG